rnacentral:rRNA from 1 species
GACGAACGCUGGCGGCGUGCUUAACACAUGCAAGUCGAGCGGUAAGGCCCUUUCGGGGGUACACGAGCGGCGAACGGGUGAGUAACACGUGGGUGACCUGCCUUUAGCUCUGGGAUAAGCCUGGGAAACCGGGUCUAAUACCGGAUAUGACUCCGCGGCGCAUGUUGUGGGGUGGAAAGCCUUGUGCGGCUGGAGAUGGGCCCGCGGCCUAUCAGCUUGUUGGUGGGGUGAUGGCCUACCAAGGCGACGACGGGUAGCCGGCCUGAGAGGGCGACCGGCCACACUGGGACUGAGACACGGCCCAGACUCCUACGGGAGGCAGCAGUGGGGAAUCUUGCGCAAUGGGCGAAAGCCUGACGCAGCGACGCCGCGUGAGGAUGACGGCCU